rnacentral:rRNA from 1 species
CACUCCUACGGGAGGCAGCAGUGGGGAAUUUUGGACAAUGGGCGAAAGCCUGAUCCAGCAAUGCCGCGUGAGUGAAGAAGGCCUUCGGGUUGUAAAGCUCUUUUGUCAGGGAAGAAACGGUGAGAGCUAAUAUCUCUUGCUAAUGACGGUACCUGAAGAAUAAGCACCGGCUAACUACGUGCCAGCAGCCGCGGUAAUACGUAGGGUGCAAGCGUUAAUCGGAAUUACUGGGCGUAAAGCGUGCGCAGGCGGUUUUGUAAGUCUGAUGUGAAAUCCCCGGGCUCAACCUGGGAAUUGCAUUGGAGACUGCAAGGCUAGAAUCUGGCAGAGGGGGGUAGAAUUCCACGUGUAGCAGUGAAAUGCGUAGAUAUGUGGAGGAACACCGAUGGCGAAGGCAGCCCCCUGGGUCAAGAUUGACGCUCAUGCACGAAAGCGUGGGGAGCAAACAGGAUUAGAAACCCUGGUGUCCCAU